GAUGAACGCUGGCGGCGUGCCUAACACAUGCAAGUCGAACGGAGAUUCCGGACGGAUGCUUUCGGAUGGAAGACUGUAAUUCUUAGUGGCGGACGGGGGAGUCACGCGUGGGCGACCUGCACUAUAUCGGGGGAUAGGAGCUGGAACCGGCUGAUAUGACCGCAUACAUGGGUGAGAAGGCAUGGUUUUGCUGGGAAACGCGUAUAGAGGUAUAGGAUGGGCAUGCGUCCGUUUAGACAGUAGGCAGGUUAAAAGCCUACCAAAGCAAGGAGCGGUAGCCGGACUGAGAGGUCGGACGGCCACAUUGGGACAGGGACACGGCCCAAACUCCUACGGGAGGCAGCAGGGGGGGAGAUGGCACAAUGGAGGAAACACGGAUGCAGCGAGGCCGCAAGAGUGAGGAAGUAGGUCGGUAUGUAAAGCUCAAUCAGCAGGGAAGAUGAUGACGGAACCAGACUAAGAAGCCCCGCUAAACUACGG
rnacentral:rRNA from 1 species